UGGGGAAUAUUGCACAAUGGAGGGAACUCUGAUGCAGCGACGCCGCGUGAACGAAGAAGGCUUUCGAGUCGUAAAGUUCUUUUAUAUGGGAAGAUAAUGACGGUACCAUAAGAAAAAGCCCCGGCUAACUACGUGCCAGCAGCCGCGGUAAUACGUAGGGGGCUAGCGUUGUCCGGAAUCACUGGGCGUAAAGGGUUCGCAGGCGGAAAUGCAAGACAGGUGUAAAAGGCAGUAGCUUAACUACUGUAAGCAUUUGAAACUGCAUAUCUUGAGAAGAGUAGAGGUAAGUGGAAUUUUUAGUGUAGCGGUGAAAUGCGUAGAUAUUAAAAAGAAUACCGGUGGCGAAGGCGACUUACUGCGCUCAUUCUGACGCUGAGGAACGAAAGCGUGGGUAGCAAACAGG
rnacentral:rRNA from 1 species